rnacentral:tRNA from 1 species
ACGCGCAAUGGAUAGCUCGUUGAACUUCUAAUCCAAAGGUCAUGGGUUCGAAUCCUACCUGGAAUG